GCGAAGGUAGCAUAAUCACUUGUUCUUUAAAUGAGGACUUGUAUCAACGGCAUCACGAGGAUCUCACUGUCUCCCCUCUCUAAUCAGUGAAACUGAUCUCUCCGUGAAGAAGCGGAGAUUUCGUUAUAAGACGAGAAGACCCCAUGGAGCUUUAAACCCAAUGACACCCCCUUUUGACAUAUCCUUACAAUCUACUGGGAACUGAUCACUUGGUUUUAGGUUGGGGUGACCGCGGAGUAUAAAAUAACCUCCAUGAAGGACGGAGAAACUUCCUUAUCCAAGAGCUACACCUCUAAGAAUUACAACACUAAUUUAUAAUGAUCCGACAUUCGAUCAACGGACCAAGUUACCCUGGGGAUAACAGCGCAAUCCACUUUAAGAGCCCCUAUCGACAAGUGGGUUUACGACCUCGAUGUUGGAUCAGGGUAUCCAAGUGGUGCAGCAGCUACUAAUGGUUCGUUUGUUCAACGAUUAAAACCCU
rnacentral:rRNA from 1 species